GACCAGAGAGAUAAAGAUGGUGUUUAAAGAAUAUACAUUGAAAGGACUAAAGGUCAGUGAGUAAUUUUCCUUUCCUCUUGAUUCCCACGUGAAUGCAUUGGUGAGGAACUUUGUAUUUCUUUUAAGGAGUUGCUUGUGUCCUGAGUAAAGUCAAAAAAGGCACUAAAGUAAUGCAGUUAUAAUUAGGAAACAGUUGGGAAUGAGGAGGGAGAGAGAACUUAUAUUUGUGUGCUGAGUGAUUUUUGAAAACUAUCUUCAAGGUGAAACUAAUAAGCUAAUUCUUUGCCAAUCUUUCUGAAAUAUACAGUCAGCCUUCGAUUAUGUAAGGGAGCAAUGGUGUGUAUAAUUAGCUAAGAGAGGAGAGUUCCCUACCCUUUUCUAUUAAUUUGAGCAAGGAGGGAGUUGAUUCCGGUUGCUUAGUAGACAGGAGAGGAGAGGAUCUCUUUUCUCUUCAAAUCUUCAACACUUCUUCCUUCCUUCUAUUCAUUUUAAGCUAUAAUUUUGUUUCACGGAAGAGAAAUAAUCAGAAAAGAAUUUCCUGUCUUUCUGUCUUCGCAUCCCUUCAACCCUCUGCAUCUGCGUACAUACACUCUGCCUUCCUCCUUCACUGUGGAGGAAAUGUGUGUCUAGCUAUGGCAACACCCUCCACUCACCCACCCUCCAACCCCUACUAUUUGCUCUUAAGUCUGUAUCCCUCUGGCCUAACCAAGGCCAUUACUGCAGCAUAUCUCUUUUCUCUUGCUUCAUCAUUUCCUCCUUUUUUUUUUUACCAGAUCUUUUCAAUGAACAAAUAUAUAAGCUUUCUGAACAAAUAUACAAGCUUUGUCUCAUCUUAAAAUCAAAUUACAAUGACAACCCCCCCACCCCUGCAAAUUUCCCUUUACCACAUUUAUCUGCUCUUUUUUAGAAUAAAAGUUCCAGGAAGGGCUGUUCUAUACAUGCUAUAGACCAUUUGUCCCCUUUUGUCUUUGAACCCACUUGCUGACCUUGAAACAACUCUCAUAAAGAAUGCUUGACUUUCGCCGGGUGCAGUGGUUCACGCCUGUAAUCCCAGCACUUUUGGGAGGCCGAGGUGGGUGGACCACCUGAGGUCUGCCCUGAGGAGUUCCAGACCAGCCUGACCAACAUGGAGAAACCCCGUCUCUACUAAAAAUACAAAAAGUUAGCCAGGCGUGGUGGUGCCUGCUUGUAAUCCCAGCUACUCGGGAGGCUGAGGCAGGAGAAUCGCUUGAACCUGGGAGGCGGAGGUUGCAGUGAGCUGAGAUCAUUCCAUUGCACUCCAGCCAGGGCAACAAGAGCAAAACUCCAUCUCAAAAAAAAAAAAAAAAAGAAAAGAAAAGAAAAGAAAAGAAUGCGUGACUUUCAUGUCACAAUGAAUAAACAAAAUCUGAUUCAGAGACUAUGCCAAGCCAGGUGAUAAGAUCUUGAAGAACCAAGAUCCAGAGAGAAGUGAAAGGAAUCAGUGUUCCAUGGAACGGAAGUGCAUCAGGAAAGGAAAGAGAAAACAGAUUCAGACUAAAGCACGUGCCUGACAAUGUGUCUGCUGCAUUGCAUGAGGCAGCCUUGCUGCAGCCAACCAUAGUGGGCUUCAAGAAAGGCCUCCUCUGCUAAAAAUGCUCUCUGAUUAGCCAUUCACUGCUUCCUGAACUAUGAAGACAUCUUCUAGGAAUACUCAGGAUCUUCUGCUAUGUGGCUUUAAUUUAUUUUAAGAUUAAUUCCUCAUUACCUUCUUACACAAAGCCACCAUUAGCAUAUCAAGCACAGCUGUACAAAUUUUUAAAAGGCCAAAAGAUGUAUCUGCCAAUUCUAGGAGGAUAUAAACCUGAAGGCACAAAUCUGGGCUGGAGCACAUGGUUUCCCUUGUGAGAAGAAAAAGUCUCCUUCCUCUGAAUGGACACACCUUGCACACCAGGGCACAAGGUUUGUCUAGAAGAGCACAGCUGAACAUCAUAAAGUGCAGAACCACACACCUGGCAUCCUUGUCCCUACACAAGGUAUGUUGCUGUUAAAGUAUAAUUUGUUACUCUCCAAAGCACACUCACAAUUCCCUACUUGGGUCCCUUGUUGCAUGUUACUGCUCCUCAUUUAUGCAUUUGGAUGCUUUCUUAUAUUUUUCCUCAACCUCUACCACAUUCAGUUAGGCACUCAGCCUAUAUUUCAUGUAUACCUAUGUAGCAGGUCUUAUGACCAGAGUUGGGGAUGCACAGAAAUUGCAGAUUUCUUAUUCAUGACAUUACUUCUCAUCCCCACAACUCAAUAUGAUAAUUCCUUUCCC
rnacentral:lncRNA from 1 species